CACAGAUGCUGCCUAGCUUGGUGAAGAAACUAUAAAUAAGAAGGUUUUGUCUUCUCUUGCUAUAAAUAUCUUGGGGUUCGGGGAAAUGAGGGAAAUACAGCGCAAGGGAGAAAUACUGAUCAAGGUUUGCCAAGCUUUUGUUGAUAAAUAUUUAUUUCCACUUCUUGUUUUCUGCAUGUUCUCCUCACCCCUCCUCUUUCCCAGCCCAGCACACACAGAUAAAAGGAAAUGGAAGUUUAAACAAUUAACUGGGGACAGAAAACUUGCGGCUUCAGAAUCCGGAUAAAGUGGACCAAGAAGGAUGGCUCAGCCAUCAAGAGCACCGUUUGCAGAGCGCCAGAGUUCUGUUCCUAGCACAACAUGCUGAUGACCCUGAGACACCAUCCUUUUAUGGCAGUGGAGGAUAGAAAUCUCUCAAUUCAGCUCAGCAUUUCCUGUUCUACUCAAAAGACAUUCAAAUAUAAACAUGACAUAGUUGAAGACCCAUCUCAACCAAGAAUCUUAUCGGUAACUGUAGCCACGGAAAGAAAGUGUCCCAAGAAAGAGCCCCUGAAUUCAUCUGAGUCCAGUCGUGCAGGAGCAGGGAGACCUGCUGCCUUGGAAGCUGCCUUGGAAGCUGCUGUGGAGAGCGGGAGGACAGUCUGAGGCAGGUGGCAGCUGGUGCUCUGAAGGAUCACGUGUGACCCGUGAGAAAGUCUCAUGGCCUUAUGGCUGCUGAGGGGUGCAAAAUGGAGCACUGUGGGGCCUAGACGCUAAACUGGGAGAACGAGAUGUUAUGAGGGAGACCUGUGGGGGAGCCAUGUGGAUGCAGUGUUCCCACCUCUUUGCUGCAGCUGCUCUGUGUCUCCAGCUGCCUUUGUGUCCUUGCUGGUGCCAGGCAGGAACUUUUAGGGGCAACCACCUGUGCUUCCAGGAGGAAAAGCUCCUGCCUUUUAAAUAGCUGCAGACACUCACCUGGAUUGUUCGCUGUUUGUUUCAAACAAGAUCCGCCAGAGAAACAAGAUCCUGCAACCUGCAAGAACAGUUCAAGUUGUGU